AGUUAAUGUAGCAAAACCUGGUAUUGCAAAAGCCCUAAACCCUUUCCAUGGGGGUUCAAAUCCCCCUAUUAACU
rnacentral:tRNA from 1 species